UACAUUUUAUUAUUCAAAUAAAUUAAAAAAAAAAAAGGUGAUAAUGUUAUUUUGGGAAAGGAAGUGAUCAUCUUUUAUUUUUCCACGUAUUGUGAUAUAAUUAAAUAAAUAUGAAUUAAGACAAAAUAUGGAACAGAAUAGGAAAGUUACCUUUUUCUUUUAUUAGAGUCUUUAUGGGAAAAUUAGGAUAAAUAGGGAAUGGGAAAAAUGGAAGAGCAUUAUGCUCUUGGGGCUGCCGAAUUAUUGAGAGAAGAGAGAGAGAGAGAGGGUGUGACCUAGAGAGAGAAGGAGAAGAAGAAAGAAAUGAAGAAGGAGAAGAAGAAGGGUUCAAGCUAGGGUAAGGCUCUUGUUUUGAUUUAUGAUUUCUUAUGUUAAAUCUAGUAUAUUGAUUUGGGUUGUCUCUAACUUUUGGUGUUCAUCUUCUUCUCCAUCUUGAUAUUCAAAAAAAUACAACCCCUAGGGUUUGAGCAAGGAGGUGCUUCUAGAUUAGAUUCUUGAUUUCUAUCAAGAGAGGCUCGUUGAGAAGUUGUGGUUUUACUUAGCUUGGACCUGAGGUAAGGAAGUUAGAAUUUAUGAUUGUUAUAUUAUGAAUGGUAAGACUGUUCUGUGAAUGAAAUGUUAUGAAUUAUGAAUGUCAUAAUGUGAUGAUAUGUUGGCUUGUAUGAACGUUGUAUGAUAUGAAUGGAUGUUAGCGUGAUGAACAUGACACAUCAAAAUGAGUUGCUAAGGAUAAGAAGACGAAACCCGAGUUACUAACGAUAUGAAGACGUAACUCCAUGGGCGGAUGCGCCGAGGUUAUUCAAGGACCAGAGACUCUUGUUUACCUCAAAGGGUGGCAUGGACAAGUUAGCGGGCUAUGUUCACAAGGAAUUAUUUAUGAUUGUGUUAUGAUGUUUGGUGAUGUUUAUGAUUUUGUUAUGAUGUUUAUGAUAUGAUGGUGGCAUUAUGUUGAUGUAAAUGUGUUUAUGUUUAUGAUAUUGAUGCCAAGUUUAUGAUGAUACUAUGAUGUAUAAAGAUGAAUGAUAGUGUUUGUAAUUUGUUGUAUCUUACUUGCUUGUUGUUUGUACUUCCUUACUGGGCUUUUAGCUCACCCAUCUUACUUUCCCUUCCAAGUAGCAAAUAGGUUUCUCUAUGGCACGCGGUGAAGUGGGGAGUUCUAUCGUUGUGGUGUGUAUGGCAUGGGGGCAUCCUAUGGACGAAAAACGAUCAAUUAAAAACACCAUUUUUAAUAAUGUUAUGUUUUAAGAGACUUUUUAAACUUAUCAGUGGGACUUGAAUUAUUGGUUGUUUUAGAACUUUGCAUAAAAACUGAUAUUUUCUUUUAAAACUAUUGGGCCCAACUUGCAUGUUUUAAGCAAGACCCCACUGAAACCUUUAUAAUAAGUGGCUUUCUUUUAUAAA